ACAUGGGCAACCCAAAAUUAGGUAGAAAUUUGAACAUGGCGAUUACCCAUAAUUUGAGUUGGUCGCUGUGAACUUCGUGUUGGGUAGGAAUUGAAUAAUGACGUCUACUCAAAUUCAAGUUCAUCGCUUUGUACUUAUAUUUUGGGUAGUCCAUUUCAAACAAAGUAGUAGGUAAUGUUUUUGACAGCCAUUGUUAUUGUUGUGAAUCAAAUUGCAUGAAGUGGCUCUGGAAAAGAAUGCCUAGAAACUUAGGAUAAAGCAAUUAGCGCUGGAUCUAAAACAUGAGUCGAUGAUGAUCGAGUUGCACUUUUUGUUGCCAACGAACGGAAAACAAAUAAAUAAUUGAAGAAAUUUUUCUCCUCAAAAUAUUUGAUUAUUUCUGCUGCCUCUGCACUCCUUGCUGUCGUUCGAUUCCGUUCACGUGGCUUCGACGUGCUGCCUCGUGGAUCGGCAACUCGUUGGUAGCGAGCCGCGUGGCUUGUUUCGAUAUUCCACCUGUUGCUAUGGGUCUUGGUUGCGUUUAGAUGACCUCGCAUCUGCGUGGUGACUUCAGGAAACUAUUCAGUCAUGUCAAACUGAGGCUUCCAAUAGUCAACACCGGUGAAACAACGUCAUCUCGGUUAUUGACUUCAGAUACAUCGAGCAAUACGGAACAUUUGAACAAGACUGUAGCUUACCCGAGCUCCGAGCCACUACAAUUCCAUUUGACUUUAGUCAUACCGGCUGGAAUAUAAUAUAGAAUUCUGGCUGUCUAAGAGACAAGUAUUUUAAUUGUGCAUUCAUUUUUUUUUUGUUUU